ACGGAGUGGUUUGGCACCUCGAUGUCGGCUCAUCGCAUCCUGGGGCUGAAGUAGGUCCCAAGGGUUGGGCUGUUCGCCCAUUAAAGCGGUACGCGAGCUGGGUUCAGAACGUCGUGAGACAGUUCGGUCCCUAUCCGGCGCGGGCGUAGGAUAUUUGAGAGGAGCUGUCCUUAGUACGAGAGGACCGGGAUGGACUGGCCGCUGGUGGAUCUGUUGCGCCUCCAGGCGCAUGGCAGAGUAGCCAAGCCGGGACGGGAUAAACGCUGAAGGCAUCUAAGCGUGAAGCCCCCCUCGAGAUGAGAUAUCCCUGGCGUUAAGCCAGUAAGACCCCUUGAAGACGACGAGGUAGAUAGGAUAGAGGUGGAAGUGCAGCAAUGCAUGUAGCUGACUAUUACUAAUCGGUCGAGGGCAUGACCAG
rfam:Lachnospiraceae bacterium 5_1_57FAA genomic scaffold supercont1.2, whole genome shotgun sequence.